GAGAGCCCGUUGCGGAGAGAUUCGCUCGGCGGGUUCGGAGGGCGGGCCGGGAAACGGAUUGGCAGAAAUGCCGACACCGCGCCUCGGUCCGACCCCUAC
rnacentral:ncRNA from 1 species